GCACCUUUUCUUCCAUUGGGUCCUGUUACACGGCUUGAUCACUUCACAGCUGGGCCUAUAUGACUCCACUUUGCUGGUCUACAUGGGAAGAGAUGGAGCUGAGACCUUUGUGUGACAUCCUGGAAGGCUGUUGGGGUGCUCCCCUGCUGAGAAGACCCUGCUCUGUGGCUUCUGCCUCCACCCCUCCAUUGAAUCCAAGAGAAGACCUGACUAGACUCAUACCUGAGGA